rnacentral:pre_miRNA from 14 species
UCAACUCAGAACUCAUAGUUGCCCAUCAAUCGCUCAGUAGUCAGUGUAGAUUCUGUUUUUACAAUCAGCAGCUACAUCUGGCUACUGGGUCUCUGAUGACAUCUUGUAGCUUCCACAUGGUUU